ensembl:ncRNA W02H5.18 ncRNA
CCCGGUGGAGCGCUGAAGACGUCGUGUAAAAUUUGUCAUGUCUAUCGAUAUAGUGCUGUUGGACUUGAUACUGGUGUUCUUAUUGCGUCGGUGUGCAUGAUUG